AUGUAAAUKAAGGAGUUUAUAAAGCUCUAGAAGGAGGCUCCUGGUUUCUGAAGUAUGUCCCUGUUUUAAGAGGAAAGAUCAGUAUCAGAGAACUCUGGAUUCUUGUUUCCAGCCUAUGUGGCAAGAUGAUGAAGAGGGAUAAGAAGUAUUAAACUGAUCGGCAUACCUGACUGUCAUGACUAUGGUACAGAAAAGUUGCCUACUGCUGUAGUUGUGUUGCCAYGCUCAGAUCUCAUCUGCUUCCACUGACUGUUUCCUUCCUGUCUUCAGCAUCCCACAAUCUCAAGAGUGCCUUUGCCAUGUGUGUUACUCUCCUCUCAGAUGUGUCUGGCUUCAGCACCAGAUACAAUCAUGACGCAAGCUGGAAUCCUUGAAAAAUACUGAAAGAGAUUCCCUUUUUUUGAAGGCAUUGGAGGAUAUAUGCUGAAAGGACUGUAUUUGUAUUAGCCUGUUUAAGCUAGCCUGUCAGUCAUCUAAUCAACUUCAGUUUUGGUUGCUUGGGCCUGUGGACUUGCCUACCUUGCUUGGCUCCAGAACCUGCCUUGCAUGGUGCUUGAAAAUGMUUCUUUCCCCAGAGAAAAUUGCAAUUUAGAAAGUUUGGAUUAAGCUCCGGUGCUGUUAGAACUUUCUUCCUUAAGUGUCUCAUGUUAGAAGUUGACUAUUAGAUUUUGGUUGCUACAUCUGUCCACCAUUGUCAAGAAUAAAAAGACACUCUCACCUAGUGACAGAUCCUUAUUUUCUCCUUGCAUGAAAAAGCACCCCCUGCAACUACUGUGCAGAUGCCCUCUUAUCUCCCCACUUCACAAGCACUGUUUCCAAGUUGUAACCUUGCAAAGAGAACCAAGAGCAUGAAGAACAGACAGUGCCAGGAAUGUUCACUGUGAUUGUAUUAUUUGCAAAUUUGGAGGACUUUUUUCACUCCUCCUUUUCAUUAUUCAAACUGUUCUUUCUU